rnacentral:rRNA from 1 species
UACGGAGGGUGCGAGCGUUGUCCGGAAUCAUUGGGCGUAAAGGGUGCGUAGGCGGCGUGGUAAGUCGGGUGUGAAAUCUCGGAGCUUAACUCCGAAACUGCAUUCGAUACUGCGGUGCUUGAGGACUGGAGAGGAGACUGGAAUUCAUGGUGUAGCGGUGAAAUGCGUAGAUAUCGUAAGGAAGACCAGUGGCGAAGGCGGGUCUCUGGACAGUUCCGUGACGCUGACGG